AUUGAACGCUGGCGGAAUGCUUUACACAUGCAAGUCGAACGAUGAACCUUAGCUUGCUAAGGGGAUUAGUGGCGAACGGGUGAGUAAUGUAUCGGAACGUAUCCAAUAAUGGGGGAUAACUAGUCGAAAGAUUAGCUAAUACCGCAUACGUCCUACGGGAGAAAGCUAGGGACCUUCGGGCCUGGCGUUAAUGGAGCGGCCGAUAUCUGAUUAGUUAGUUGGUGGGGUAAAGGCUCACCAAGGCGACGAUCAGUAGCUGGUCUGAGAGGACGACCAGCCACACUGGAACUGGGACACGGUCCAGACUCCUACGGGAGGCAGCAGUGGGGAAUUUUGGACAAUGGGCGAAAGCCUGAUCCAGCCAUUCCGCGUGAGUGAAGAAGGCCUUCGGGUUGUAAAGCUCUUUCGCAAGGGAAGAAAACUUAAGCUCUAACAUAGCUUGAGGUUGACGGUACCUUGAUAAGAAGCACCGGCUAACUACGUACCAGCAGCCGCCGUAA
rnacentral:rRNA from 1 species